rnacentral:rRNA from 1 species
UCAGRGUCCGAGUUGUAAUUUGCAGAGGGCGCUUUGGYGUUGGCAGCGGUCCAAGUUCCUUGGAACAGGACGUCACAGAGGGUGAGAAUCCCGUACGUGGUCGCURGCCUUCGCCGUGUAAAGCCCCUUCGACGAGUCGAGUUGUUUGGGAAUGCAGCUCUAAAUGGGAGGUAAAUUUCUUCUAAAGCUAAAUACUGGCCAGAGACCGAUAGCGCACAAGUAGAGUGAUCGAAAGAUGAAAAGCACUUUGGAAAGAGAGUCAAAUAGCACGUGAAAUUGUUGAAAGGGAAGCGCUUGCAGCCAGACUUGCCUGUAGUUGCUYAUCCGGRCUUUUGYCCGGUGCACUCUUCUGCGGGCAGGCCAGCAUCAGUUUGGGCGGUUGGAUAAAGGUCUCUGUCAUGUACCUCYYYUCGGGGAGRMCUUAUAGGGGAGACGACAUGCAACCAGCCUGGACUGAGGUCCGCGCAUYUGCUAGGAUGCUGGCGUAAUGGCUGUAAGCGGCCCGUCUUGAAACACGGACCAAGGAGUCUAACAUCUAUGCGAGUGUUUGGGUGUCAAGCCCRRRCGCGYAAUGAAAGUGAACGGAGGUGGGAACCCUUNWGGGUGCACCAUCGACCGAUCCUGAUGUCUUCGGAUGGAUUUGAGUAAGAGCAUGGCUGUUGGGACCCGAAAGAUGGUGAACUAUGCUUGAAUAGGGUGAAGCCAGAGGAAACUCUGGUGGAGGCUCGCAGCGGU